rnacentral:misc_RNA from 1 species
CUAACGUUCGUGCCUCGCGGCUGCUCUUUAUUCCCAUCUAAUGCUUGAUCCUUUUGGCUGCUAYUCAUCGGUGGUGCUUUGCUUCACGUCGUUGGUGUGCUGUCAUUGGGGCUUUUGCUUAUUUGGUUGUUUAGAGACCGUUUGCGGCACAUGAGUUGUGUUCGACUAUGCUCACUUUGAUUGGUGCACCCUCGAGUGUUGCUGAUCAUCGUUAAAGCAUUCAUUUCAUUUGGUUGGCCACCCAAAUCACUUUGAAUGUGGUUGAUCCAUCCUUUGUUGCUUGCAUUUGGAUUCCGUUCACUAUUGGCAUUGAAUUUUGAAAACAGAUUGACAUGUGCCUGUGGCUUCAAUGAGAAAAGAGGCGAUGGUUUGAGAUUGCAGUUUUCUACCAGCUCCUGCGUAAGUCGUAUGUCCCUAAACAAACAUCAUGCUUGCUGGUUGCUGAUCUAUAACUCUGCAUUUUGUUGCUAUAUGGAGGCGGCGAAUAAGAAACAUAUCUCGGUGUCAUUGACACCUUGCAGACGUGAGUUAUAUCUUGAGGCAGUCUCGCCUCCUAUCCUCGUGCAAUCAUGAUUCCUCCCUUCUAUCCAUCGGCAUGACGGUGUUUCGUUGGGUUUGUUUC